GCAGUGAAAUUUGCUGCCCUCCAUUCUUGUGGUCUUCAUGGACAACGAGAGCUGCAUUUGUCAUUUCUCCAUUAUGCAUAUCCAUUUAGAGAAGUGGCGAAGGUAGGAAAUAAGAAGAUGAAGGAAAUGUUAAGUUGGAAUGUUUUUGUGGUGCGCUGAGCGUAUGAUGAAUGGAGUUUGUGAAAAUGGAGAUUGAAGGAUCCCAUAUUUAUAGUACUUAGUGCCGGUUCAUUCAGGUCGCCUCGAUUGAAAUAGUGAAAUCAAUUCGUCAAUAUUAACAACCCGCCUUUCAAUUGACUUGCUCGCUCAAUCAGGCCUCUGUCCUUUCCUCUGCUUGUUCUUUCCUGAGGCUGUAGAACCAACUUUUCUUGGAACCGCAUGGAAUUUUCAAAUUUCUCGGGUGCGUGCGUCUUUCCCCGUGAAUCGAGGUUGUCAAAUUGUUGAAUUGUCCCGAGAAACAGAAAGAUAAUAAUAAAUGGUAAUUAAUUGGCACGAGUUGUUAUUAAUUUAAUAAUAAAUAUAAAAACUAGUACUUUUCUAUUUUAAAAAACUAUAUAUAAAAAAUAAUAAUAUAUUAAAUGCAUGUAACAAAACUUUAAUAAACGGUAUUAUUUAAUAUUUUAUAACUAUUUUUAAUUAAAUUAUUUUUUCAAUAUUAUCAGUUAGUAGAUAGAUCAUAUUUAUGAAUUAAUAAUAUAAAAUAAUUAAUUUUCUAUUUUCAAAAUUAAAAUAAUUAUUUAAUGAGAAAUCAAAAAAUAAUUAUUCAAUAAAAAACUAAGUCAGUAGUUAAUGUAUACACUAAAUACAGUAGCAUUAAAAAUAAAUAAAUAUUUUAUUUUACUUAUUAUUUUAUAUAUAAAGUAAUCUGAUUUUAUAAUAUAUCAGUAUAUUCAAUAAAAUAAAUUAGAAAUAAGUGAAAAGUUUAGUUAAAUAUAGUAGAAAGGAAAGUUAAAUAAUAUAAUAAUUUAUUAUUAUUAUUAUUAUUAUUAUUGUUAUAUUAUGAUAUAUAUAUAUAUAUAUAUAUAUAUAGGUUGCAUAAUUUUGACUGACGUAAGGAGCUGAACUGAAUUGUGAACCAGUUUGUUUUGGAUUGUCUAAAGGGACCCCUACAUAUCCAAUGGCAAGCGCGCCCAAAAUUUUAUUUUAUAGCUUUUUUCUUAUAAUUUUAUUUUUUAUAUUUUUAGAUUUUAUUUAUAUAAACUUUUUAAUGCUCCAUUAUAGUAUUGUUUUGAUAUUUUUUAGUAUAUUUUUAUACCAUUAACUAUAUUUUUAGAUUUUAUUUUAAAUAUAUUUUUAUUAUAUUUUAAUAAUAUUAUAUGAUAUUAUUUUUUAAAAUAUACAUACUCGUAUUAUCAAAAGACACUAAUUACUAUAAACAUAUUUAAUUGAUUAAAUACCAUAAAAAUAUAAAAUAAAAAAUAAUAAUUCAUUCUAUCAGUAUUUUAUAGGUAUAUUUUUAAUAUUUUUUCGUUAUGAACUUCUAAAAGAUAAAUUCAUAAUAACAUAAGUUAAAAUACAAUAAAUUUUUGAUAUUUUUGAAAUAUAUUGUUGAAAAGGGAAAAAAAAAUACUUUAUCUUAUUUUUCAUAUUAGAUUGUUCCGUUAUGUGCAAAGCUUCUUUAAGCUGUUUGAGUUCCCUUGGUUGGAUAUGGAUCUACUAGAUCAAAAUAAAAGGCGUUAUAAGCCAUUGCAAGUCCUAGGCGCUUUUACCUUCUCUCCGGUUGCAUAAACUAAUUGUUCUUUGAGCAAGCCAAUCUAGAUAAUCUGGCUUCGAGCCUGUUGGAGUUUCUUUCCCUCCCGUAAGGAGAAUCUCGGACGAUCUCUUUUUUUAAAAGCAUGUAUAGGCCUAUUUUUAGAUAUUUUUUUGAUAAAAUUCUAAAAGAAAGUUUAAAUUAAAUUAAAUUUAUAAUAUAUAAAUUAAAAAUAAUAUUAUUUUAUUAUUUUAUAGGUUUAUUUUUAAUAUAUUUUCAAUUCAUAUGACCCCUCUCGUAUAUAAAAAACAAAUAAAAGGUAUUUCCUUAAAAAUAAGGAGUAAAAAACGAAAAGGAAGUUUAUAUUUCUUUGUUACUCAUUCAUCAAAUUUAUUUCUAUGAUUAAUUUAUAAUCAAAUUAAAUAACUUGCAGCGACACGUAGAUAUCAUGCUAAUUCAAUAUCAGAUCAUAAAAUAAAUUGGAUUAUUUUGUAAACUAAAUAAAAUGAUAUGAGCUAUUUUGUAGAAUCAAACCAAGCGUAUGUAUGAAAGCUAAGCACGCGCGCGCCAUUCGAAAGAACUAACUCAUUAAGUUUGGUUUACAAUUCUUGAAAACAACUCAUAUUUGGCGUUUUGUCCUUUCUUUUGUUUUUUUCAAAAUUAAAUCUUUACAUUUUUAUUUUUAUGUAAUUUAAAUUUUUACUAAUAUUAUAAGUUUAUAUAUAUAUAUAUAGUUAUAGUUAUAGUUUUGUCUUAGUCUUUUAUUAUUUGUAAAAAUUUAGGAUUUUUUUAUAAGUAUUUUUUUUAAAAAAUAGCUUAUAUCUUUCUUUCUAUUAAUUUUUAUCAAUUAAAACACAUUAUCUUAAUCAAUAUAACUGAUUUAAUUUAAAAAUUAUAAUUAAAAUUAAAAUUAAUUCGUAUCAUUUUAUUUAAAUUAAUAGUUUAUUAUUAAUCAGAGAGUUAAUGUCAACAAAAUAAAAGUACAGGGAUUUGAUGUUAUGCAAAUAAAAAUAUACGGAUUCAAUCUCAUAAAAUAAAUGUCCAAAAAUUUAAAAUUUAAAAUUUAAAAUUUAAAAAUUAUUGUUAUAUGCAUUAAGAAUGAAUGUAAUAUACACUUCUAACUACUGUUAGUAAAAGGUUUAAAUUUUAUAAAUAUAAAAAUAUAAGGACUCAAAAUCAUAGAAUGAAAGUAUAAGAACCAAAUCCGAAAAAAAAGUAAAAAUACAAAGUGUUAAGCAUUAGGUUAUUCCACAAUGUUUUAGAAUCCUAAUUGAAGAACAAAACAGAAAAGCAAAAUAGUUAAUUUAGCUAACUAAAAAAAUCAAUAGGAUUACUACCGGUUUUUCAUUAAUUAUAAAAUACUUAGAAUAUCAUAAAAAAAAUAUCAGAAAAGAAGCUAAAAGGUAUGACAAGCAUACAAAAAUAAACGUAUAAAUUAAAUAUAAAACAAUAAUUAAAUUUUUAAAAGAUGAAUUUAAUUCAUUUUCUCAGUUAAUUUCUUUUAAUAGCCUAUAGUAUAAUUUCAUGUAAAUUGAAUGUUUUGAUUGAUAAGUUUUGAUGAAUUAUGUAUUGUUUAUUUUUCUUAACAAUAAAAUAUUUUAGACCAUUACAUAUAUUUUAAAUCGGAAUAAAAUUUUUUAUCUGUAUCCUUCAAUAUUAAUAUAAAAAAAUUUAAAAUUAUAUUUUUAAAUUUUUUUAUUUAAAUUUAAUAUAUAUAUUACAGCUAAUAUAAGAGUGAUAUCUAUAAAAAUAAUUUUAUUUUAAUAUUAAAUAAUUAACAAUAUCUUUAAAUGUUAUUCUUGGUCAACGGCUAUUAUUUUUGGACCAUCUCGGAUCAAAAAAGCAGUCAGCAAAACUCCAAAAUAUUCUAAUUCUUGCUUUUCAGGAGUUGAAAAAUCUUAGCGUUUUUGUUUAUGUAUUAAUAUUGUUGAAUCUUUUGAUCCACCCAUCAUGAUAUUGAUGGCCACUGAAUUAUUUUCAAAGAUGAUUUAAGCAUUUGUAUAUGAUUUAUCAAUUGAAAUCGAACAUUAAGAAAGAACAUAAUGUAAAAGCAACAGAUGGUCCAUGAAAAUUUAUUAAUGAAAUGUAAUUAGUUAGUUGUUUAUUUCGAUUCACUGAUUGUACUUUUCCUGACAUGGUUAAUUAGACUUUCAUUAUUUAAAAUAUUUUUUUAAAUACAAAGUUUUAAAAUUAUAAUUAUCUAUUUCUAGGAUAAUUUUUUAUUAACUAUAACUGAAUUAAAUAAAAUUAAUUAUUAUAAAUAAAUUAUAUUUCUUAUAGUCAUUUAACAUACUAAAAAUAACAAUUAAUAAAAUAUUAUUAAAUAAUUUUAUUUAUUUAUUAUUAUUCAAUAAUUAUUAACUAUCGAUCACCGCCAGUACCUAACUAAAUAAAUUUUAUUUCCGACUCUUUAAUGUUACAUUUUUUUUUUAUAGUCAACCUUUACUUUAAGUAGAAAUGUCAAGUUUAAGAUUACAAAUAAAGUGAACACCACUUUAACUGUAAACUAAAAAAUAAAUACAUUUCAUUUUAAUACGAACCAUCUUCGUUAUAUCACUGAAUACUUCUGCGACUAAUUUGCCAAUCAAAGGAUUAAGCGAACUGCAACUUAUUUCUCAUCAAAUUGGAGAACAUCGGCAGCAAUAAAUAUAUAAUUCUCUCGACAUUUGUAUUGGAUGAGGACUAGAGUUCUUAUAAAACUUGUAACAAUAGAAAAUGUUUACAGUAAUAUACUGCUAUGUUCCUCCUUUAAUUUCUUUUUGGGUACAAUGUGACAAUUGAAAAAAAAUAAAAUAUAUUUUUUAAUUUAGGUUUGAGUCUGGUUUAACUAUCCAGCUUAAAAUUUUGAUUAAAUUCGGUCUACUUUAAAAAUUAUAAAAAUUUUGUUUUAUAAUUAUUAGAUUAGGUCAUAUUUAUUAGAUAAAUUUUAAAAAAAGUUAAUAUUUUUUAAAUUCGUUCAAAUAUUAUUUAAUUUUUUUAAGCUUGAAUUCGAACGAAUCUACGUCUCAGAAAAAAUUAGACGAUCUAAGUGGAUAAUAAAGUCUAUAAAAUAACCACCAAAUUUAGAAACAUAUAUUACUUACGUGGCUUGCUGCCAUCUCUACACCCACUUCCAUAUUAGUACAUACGAGAGAUUUUUACUUAAGUUUGGUGUAUACGCUACAAUUAAUAAAAUAAUAAAAAAAAUUAAUAAUUAUUCAUUUGUUAUAUAGGUGGGACAUACAUCUAACUCUAGACAAGAAUUUUGCAGUAAACAAUCUCUAAGAAGGCUUACGAUCGUGUUGAUUGGAGCUUUUUGGAGGCUAUAUUGUUAAAACUUGGUUUUGCUCCAAAAUGGGUUGGUAUGAUUAUGCUUUGUGUUUCAACAGUUUCAUAUUCUGUACUAGUAAAUGGCAGGGAGGUGGGUCCGAUCAAGGUGACCCAUUAUCACCCAAUCUAUUUAUUCUGUGUACGGAAGGUUUGUCCUCGUUGAUUGAGGACCGAAAGGACUGGAUUAAUUCAUGGUCGUAAAGAUUGGUAGAGGCGCUCUGCGGGCCUCUCAUUUACUGUUAGAGAAAGACAGCUUCUUCUUCUUCAGAGCUGAUAUUGGUAAGUGUCAAGCUAUGAAAAAUAUACUUAAUGCUGUUGAGGCAGCUUCAGGCCAAGCAGCAAAAUUUUUCUAAAUCUGGGAUUUUCUUCAGUUCCAACGUUUCUAUUUCUUAUCGGGCUGAUAUUUCUGCUUGCUUGGAAGUAUCGAAUCCUUUAAAUAUGGGGAGGUAUUUGAGAGCUCCGUCCUUGAUUGGGCGUAACAAGUAAGCUAUUUUUGCUUAUUUGAGGGAUCAAGUUUGGAAAAGAAUUAGUGGCUGGAAUGGGAGCAGGCAAGGAAAUCCUGAUAAAAACAGUUGCUCAAGCAGUUCCCAUUCAUUGUAUGAGUGCGUUUCUAAUCCCUAGCUGAUGAACUCCAACGUAUGUUAAACUCAUAUUGGUGGAGAACUAAGAAAAGUGGAGUUAGAGGUAUCAACUGGCAAAGUUGGGACAUAUUAUGUGUUUGGAAGAAUGGGGUUCCGGAAUUUCCAUUGUUUUAAUCUAGCAAUGUUGGGGAAACAGGGUUGGAAACUCAUUACUAACCCUAAUGCUCUUGUUUCUCAGAUUCUCAAAGCAAGAUACUUCCCUAGAUGGGAGUUUUUAACUUCACAACUUGGGUUUAACCCAAGUUAUACUUGGAGGAGCAUUCAGAGUUCUCGUUCAUUGCUAGAGAAAAGUUGUUGAUCGAAAGUAGGAAAUGGGCAGCGGAUUAAUGUUUGGUCUGAUGCAUGGAUUAGAAGCUUGAGUAAUUUCAGAGUCUCUAAAACGGUAAUUCAGGUGAUGAAGGAUUUGCAGAUUGCUGAUAUAUCCCUGGCUGUCUUGAAUGAGAUUAUGAGCUUAUUGAGGAUUUCUUUAAUUCCGCUCAUGUCUCAAGAGAAUUUUGCUGUCUAAUAGAGUGGUUGAGAACAGGUAUAUCUGGCACUUGUCUAAGAAUGGUCUGUAUGCUGUCAAAUCAGGUUAUAGAAUUGCUAUGGAACAAAACAACCUAGAGGCUGCUUAUAGUUGCCCUGGUGACUAGAAAAGACUUUGGAGGUUGAAUCUCCUUCCUAAAAUCAGGAAUUUCCUAUGGUGAGUGUGUAAAGAUGUCAUACCUACUAGAGAACAGCUGCAUAAUCGAGGUAUUCCUCUUCAACCUUCCUGUGUUCUUUGCAGGGGUUAGUAGAAUCAAUUUAGCACAGUUUUAAUGUCAGUUUACUAGAGACUGUUAGAGUCUUGUUAAUGUUGAUGUACAUUGUGUUUCUGCUACAACAAUCAAACAUUGGUUCUUUAGAAAGUUGGUUAUCAUGAUGCUGCUGGAAUAGGUAUAAUUGCUCUCACAAUGUGGUCUAUUUGGAAUCAGCGUAAUGCUAAACUUUGGUCAGGUUCUUGUGAGACAGCUUGGAAUCCAUCUUUGCAGCUAAGGUUGUAUUAUAUGACUGGAUGGCUGCCAGAAACAUGGUGAGCAAUAUCUCUUCUUGUUGCUAUUUUGCCGUUACAUUGGAUUCGUCCUCCUGAUGGGUAUUUAAAGUGCAACGUUGAUACUGCCUUAUUUGCUGAUAGGGCUAUUUCUGGGAUUGAUAUGGUUAUUAGAGACAGUGCAAGCAGGUUUAUUAAGGGAUCUACUCGGUGGUUUUCUGGUAUAUGGGAAGUCAAGGAAGUUGAAUGCAUUGUCUUAAGGGAACCUCUCAACUGGGAUGUUUUACUAGAGUUGCAAAAUGUAAUUUUUGAUGUGGAUGCUGAAGCUGUGGUGGAUGUUAUUCAGUCUAGAUCGUCUGACGUUUCUGAAUUUGGUGUUUUCAUCAAGGACUGUUUAUCUUUUUUAGCUGAUAAUUUAAGUUUCCAAGUGUGGUUUGUUAAACAACAAGCUAAUGUGGUUGCUCAUAAGCUAGCCAGAGCAUCCCAUUUGUUUGGUAGUGGCGUUGAUUGGGAAGAGCCGCCCUCCUUUGUUAGUGAGCUAUUGUCCUUUGAUGUUUUUGUUUCCCAUUAAUGAAAUGUGUUUGUUGAUAAUAAAAAACCCAUUAACAAUAUGUUCACCAAAAAUGAAUUCAUCAACAAAAAAACCUAUUAAUAUAAUAAAUUGAAUCAAUAUCAUCAAGUUUUAUUUGAAAAUGAAACCAAAAAAGGGAAAAAAAAAACAUAAAUUAAAUUAGUGGAAUAUGUGAAAAUUAUAUCAUCACCCAAAUGCCCAAUAAAUUGAACAGAAUUAUAUAAAUCUUGAAACUCAAACAUAAUUCAAAAUGAAAUUAAUGGAGAUGUAGGAUAAGGAGGUACUGAAGAUAAAUUCAACAUCAUGCUCGGCUGCAAAUACCAUCUAAUGGUUGAGAUUGUGUCAUUCUUGAAUGGAAGAGUUAUUUUAAAAAAAGGAUAAUGUUCAAUAAGUUCUAAAAUAUUUUGGUCAAUUAAUGUAAUUUUAAGGAUAAGCAAUAUUUUAACUAUUAAAGAAUAUAAUAAAUCUACUCAAAUCUGUUUGAUUGAAUCAGAUAGGCGUUUUAAAUUUUUUGAUUUUUUAUGGAGUCAUAUGGAAUAAUGCUAAUAUACAAUGACUUGGCUCCUCUUAAUAAAAUUUGAGUUUAGAGUUAGGAUUUUGUUAUAAAAUUUAAAAAUUAAAAAUUAAAGAAUAAUCCUUUUCAAGUAGAGAUAUUGUUCAUACAACAUCUAGAUUCUCUCUUUCUUUUAUUCUAUUGUUUUAUUUUCUCUUUCUCUCUAUUUUUCCAUCUUCGACUUUUCUAAUUCAUUCUCUCUUCUUCUCUGUCACUAAAUAUUUUUAUGUUCUUUAAGAUAUAUGAAUUUUUUCUAAUUUUUUUGUGUGUGCACUUUUCUGAUUUAUUUUUGAAAUGAAAAUUAACUCAUUGGGUCAUUUAAAUUUUUAAUGAAUUCAUUUUCUAUUUUAUCUUCUUCAAAAUCGGUAAUCUAGUAUAUCUUUCCUUACGUAGCCAGUACUUUUGUCUUCUCCUUCUCCUUCUUCAUUGUUCAUUGCAUUUGGCUUACCAUGGCUUCCAUCACCACCUUCCAUCAAACUGUUGUCAUCACUAAAUCCAAAUAUUUCAUCCACCAAUUGAUUUUUGUGUCGGUUAUUAAGAAUGUUUUGAUAAUUUAACUUUUAAUUUUCAAAAUUGAUCCAUUAGCAGCAACUUAUAGAAUAUAUAUAUUAAUUCUAUUUGAUUUAACAGUUGACUAACCAUAAAAAUUAAUGGAAGACUGAAUAUAGUUAUUAUUACAUAGAUUAAAAGAGAAAUAAUAUAAUUUAAGAACAUCAAUAGGAUAUUAGUAUAAUAUGUUAUAAUUUAAUGGAGUGGAUAUAGCUAUUAUUAUAAAAAAUAAAAAUAGAAAUAAUUUAUUUUAAGAAAAUCAGUGGGACAUUAGUGUAAUAUGCUAAAAUCUUGAGGGAUUUAACGGCUAAUAAUUAAUAGUUGGUAGUUGAUUCUCCUAUAAUAUUAUAACUGUUUUUCUUUUUUCCUCAAUUGAGCCUAUCCUUUGCUUAGUUUAGGGACAAAUUAUAAGCCCAAAUAUAUGCCUACCGAGUCGAAAGAAGAAAAUAAAGCCCUGUAAUCAGCAUGAGAAGAAAAUAUUUAGACUUGUAGCUUUGAGAAAACAAGACACUGGUUUUGUACCAAAAGAAAAUAGAAGUUUGAAAUCCAAACUUUAGAAGGUAAUGUUGAAGAAAAUUUGCGCAAAUGCCUCACUGUCUUGAAUAGAAUCACCACUGGAAGGAAGAUCAAUGAGCACUUAGACAGCAUACGUUCUUCUUGUGCAUAUAGAGUUAUAGAAGUAGACUUGGUCACAGUUCAUGAACCAUCGAUUCCGAUUUAGGAACCACGGGUUCAUGAUUCCAUAACUCUUAGAGUCAGUCCGGUUGGUUCUAAUCAGUGUAAAAGAAAACGAAUUAAUUGGCUUGAACUUACCGAAACUUUUUAUUUACCUCCUUAUCAUUAAUCACUGCUUAAGCCGAAAGUUGAAGUUUCAUUGGUCGUGAGGUCUAAUAAUUCUUCAUUUUCUUUCUUUACAAAUUCUUAUUGCCUUAAUACUGCUUUAGUCCAAUCAUCAAUACAUGCUUGAGCUUCCAAUAAUUCAGGGUCAUGGAAGAUCGUAUAUCAUCCAAUAUAUUUCCUCCUACACUAAAAGCUUGUUCUAGAGCAACUGUUGAGACUGGACUUGCUAAAAUUUGUUUAGCAAUUUGUGAUAGGACAAGAAAAAUAUUUUGGUAUCGACUCCACCACUUAAAAACUGAAAACUCUUUACCUAUUUCGCUAUCUUUAAACUCAAAUAUAGUUGUUAAACAUAUGUCAAGUUCAGAAGGUGAACCAGAUGAUUCCUUAGGUCUUUUAUGUCUUUGCAUCAAAAUACUAUUACCCUUACUAAUUUUAGUUGGUUCACUUUGAACUUGACUAGUAAUAGAAGAUGUAGUAAUAUCAAUAGAUGAUAAUUGAUAAAUUAAAUUAAAUUUCAUAAAUAAAUCAACUAUUGUCUUUUUAAUAUCAUCGAUUAUUCUAUCAAUAUAAAUUAAUUAAUCUCAUAAAUUAAUUACCAUGAAUGAAUUGAACUUUGCAUUUUUUUUUUAAAAUGUACUUGAAAUAUUUCAGAUUUAUAUUGCAUAUUCUCUCCUCUUCCUCCCUCUUGCUUUUGUUGUAAAUUUAUUGCUUCUUCUUGAUCAUCCACUAUUCUUUCCAAUCUUUCUUCACUUUCUUGAGUUGAAUAAUCAUAUUGUGAUUCACCAAAAUAUUGGCUUCUACUACUAUAACUAUAAUUAGCCUAUUAAAUAUAAAAUAGAAAGAGAUAUUAAUUAUUAAUUUAUUUUAAAAAAUUUAUAGAAAUUAGAAUAUAAAAGACAAUGUUAAUAGAAAAAUAAGAUAGUAUUUGUGUGAAGAAUUUUUAUGUAAAAAAGAAAUUGAACAUAAGUGAAAAAAAAAAGAUUAAAAACGAAAAAUAGUAAAUAAGGAAAAGAUUAUUGUGAAAUAAACAAAUAAUAUAAGAAAAAAAAUAUGAAGUAUGAGUGAAUAGUUAAAAAAGAUUAGUGAAAUAUGAUAAUAUUUUUUUAAUGAAUUAUAAGGAAAUUGACCAUAUAGUAAUUUGAGAGAGAGAGAGAGAGAGAGAGAGAGAGGUGACCUUUAUAAAGAACUGCACUAAAUAAACCUUAUAGCAACCGAUAAACAUUAAGGUCAAAAUCAAGCGCUGGUAACGUGUAAAAUGGGUCCAAGUCUAUAAUUAGGUUUUUUAUUAAAAACAGAAGUCUAAAGUCGUUAAAAUCAACCGUUGAUAACCGCCAUUUUUGAAAAACGAAUUGCCUUAGACCUUUCCUUUCAACUAUUAAAGAAUUUCUUUUUUUCUUCCAGGCCAGAAAAAGGAAAUUCCAAAAGAUCCAAUCUGAAAUUGAUUUUCUUUUUAAUGCAGACUUUUACUUUCUUAUGUAGAGUCUCCUUUUCUUUAUUGGGUCGGGCCUUCCUAUUACAAUUCUAUUUCUUAAAAGUUCCUUUAAAACAAAACUUUUUAUUUUUAAUUUUUCUUUAUGUUGAAAUCUUAUUCAAAAGACUGAUGAUGUAUGUAUAUACACAUAAUUGAAAAGGUAAUUAUUGUCUUUUACUAUAUUCUUAAUGCUAAUAUUGCUCAUUAAUGGAAUCAUAUUUAUUAUAAUUGAAGAAAGAAAAAUAUAUAAAUAAAUAAAUUAAAAAGAAAGAUAUAUACCGAAAAAAACAACUUAUGAGUUAUGUUUCCGAAUAACAAAAACUCUUAUUUCACUUGUAUAAUAAUUUUAAAAUAACAAAUACCAGUAACAAGAGAUGUAAAGAAAAUGAGAGCAAUUACAUUCUUAAUUGAGCUUACACAAAGUUGUGCACUAUACCUUCUAUAUCAGUUUUUAUUCUUAUUUUAAUAGAUUAACUAUGUAGAUAAUAUUUUUUUAUUUUACUUUAAUUACUUGAUUGUCGGGACAAAAAAGAAAAUCCGGAGCCACUCAAUUUCUGUUCAACAAUCUGAUCCAAACGAGCGCCCAUUUCUUCAGUAAAAUAAUUUUUCCAAUCUCCACUUGUACCUUUUCGAUAGAACAAACUAUUUUUUAUGAUAAAUUGAGAAUCUGGACGGAAAGCACCAUCUUUUGUCGCCUUUGAAUUCUUCAAACUCUCAAAACUACAUAAAUCAAUAAUUUGUUGCACUACUCCUUGGCUCUCUUCCUCUGGAGUAAAAGGAUAUCCAAGAAAGUCAGCUAGCUUCUUGACAUUAGAAAUAGUAUCCUCCUUCAAAUCUUCAUACUUCAAGAAUAAGACCUUUUCAGGAUAUUCUUGACUUGCAUUCCAGUACCCUGCAACAUGAUCCCAGUAAGGUCCAUUUAGAGCAACUCCUUCGCAAAAUGACUCAAAAGAAUCGCCCAUAUUGCAAUAUGCAUCUUUGUCGAUUCCUUCGGGUAACCUUGCCCUCAAGAAAUGCCACAUUGAUACUAACACAUCCUUAGGAUCCCUGCAAAAAUACACCAUUUUGCAUCCCAAUGUUGUUAUAGAAGUUGGCAAGGAAUUAUAAGGAAUAUGUGUAGCAACAAGUGGAUUUUCUGUAUCACGAGAGUAAGUUUCUCUUGUACCAAUUUCAAUUUCUAUAAAAGGUACACAAUCAUGUGGUGUAGAUGUUAAUAAAGGGGUUUCAGAAAUGCUAUAACGAGAACGUGUAGUAAUAGCAAAAGCUAAAGCCUUAAGCCAAGUUGUGCCAGUUUUAGGGUAAGUACAUAGGAUAAUAUCAUCAGGCUGAGCUUGAAAUUUUUCCUGGGCAGCUAAUAUUGCCUCUAGGUAAAUGGUGAAGUACCAAAACCCUUGGUAUUGGUGAAGAGGCAUGAAUUUCCAGUCAUUUCUUGUGGGUAGGGUUGAGAUAAGCUCGCUGUACUUGCUUUGAGGCAUGGAAAUUUGUGGUCCUCCUUCCUUGUCUUCAUGGACAAGUGGGAGCGCAUUGGGUAAUCUCGACUGUCGAGAUUGCACAAUACUAGACACCCUCUGUUGGGAACCCCCCCAUUGUGGAACCGACAUAGGGCGUAUGGCAAUAUUUUUCGAGGGUUGUGAUGAAGCUACGAUAUUUCUUGGGGCUACAUUUAUGACUCGGCCAUAAACAAGAUCCAUUUGGGAACAAGAGAAAAAGAAAUUUAAGGUAGUAAGCUUUGAUGAAAUAGGAAGCAAAUGAUUAAUGGAGGUUGUGAGAACGGAGUCUGAAAGGAUCCUAUAUUUAUAUUGCAGCCACAGCCUCUCUUUUUUCUAGUGGCAGAUCCUUUUUAGACUUCAGGCCGCCUUAAUUGAAUGAGAAACGACUUAUAAAAUAAUGAAAGUUCGUCAACCGCUUGGAUACUUCCUUCCAAUCUUUCCUGAGGCUCCAUCAUAUUCUAUAGAACCAAUUUUGGUACGAACUGUAAUGAAUUUUCAAACUUCUGAAGGGCCCAUUGUCGCCGUCAAUCAACCUGUCAUUAGAAAAAGUAAAAAAAAAAAAAAGAAGAAGUGUAAGUUGUUAUUAAUUAUAAUGCAUAGUUGAUUGCAUAAUCUUGACUGGGUUUCUCUUUUCUUUAUUUAUGAUACCUCUCUUUCAUGCUACUAAUAGCAAUUUCAUCUCUCCCUCUUUUCUAUUUUUUAUUUUCCUCUUUAUAAACUUUAUUGCAAAAAUAUACAAUUUUUUUUGUUCUUCCCAGUGAUAGCCUCUCAACAUAAAUCUGAACCAUUUAAAAUAAAACAUAAAAAGAAUUCGAUUUUCUCUGUUAACCAAAUAAUAAUUGUAGUCUUUUUGUUCAAGUUCGUAAAUGUUAAGGUUUUUUAGCUCAUAAACUUGACAAAAUUCUUCUUUUUUUUUUUUUUCCUUUUAAUGGUAUAAUAUUUUUGGAUCAAAUACAUUAAUUAAAAUAAAAUUCUUCAUUGACCUAAAAAAGUCAAAGUAAACCAUUCAAAUAUUAUAUUUUAGAAUAUAUUUUAUUGUUAAAUCUUGAGCAGGUCUAUAUUUGAAACGAAUCAUACAUCUUCCUUAUUGUUUGCCGGCUCGAUUACUCAUUAGUCAAUUUGACAAUUUUUGGAGAUCGCCUUGUGAUUUGUUCAAUAGAUCAUGGCCGACACCAAAUUAUUUUGAAUGAUUUAUCUUGAUGAUUUAUUCAUUUUAAAGAUCUUGAUAAUUUAUUAGUUGAAAUAAAACAGUAAGGGAGAAAAGAAUGUAAAUUAAAGAAAUGUAAUUAGUUAGUUAUUUAUUUGGAUGCUGACUGAUUGUACAUUUUGUAACAUUGGGUUAAUUGGGCUUUCAUUGACUACAGUUCUUUUAAAUGCACAGUUUUAAAAUCAGUAAUUAAUUCUAAAAAGUUUUAGUGCGAAACAUAGAUAUAGGACUGAACUAAUAUAUGUUUGUUGCUGAUAUUUCUCCUUAAAUUACAUUUCGUUCUAAUUGAUAUCUUCAAUUUCAAAUUGUUUGCAAUAUGCCAAGACCCAAUUCACACCUAGGAGCUCUUUCAGAGAAAAUUAAAACAGGAAAGUUAGAUAGAAGUGGAGGAAGCUUCGCAGACGUGACGUGAAGGAAUUAAGGUUUACUUUCUGGGGAGUAAUGCUAUGAAAUUCAACUUUGUUUAUCUUUUUUUUUUUUAAUCUAUAUAAUAUGGCAAUUAAUAUUCAUAUUUUAAAAGCAAGAAAUAUAUUUAUAAUAGUAUUAAAUAGUAUAUCAGGCGGGUAAAAGAUAAAAAAAAAAGUGGGAGGACAAAUUGUGCAUUGUAAGGUUAUAGCUUAGCAAGGACAAUCUUGCAAGGGAAAUGGGGAAAUAUACCCAAACAUAGAAUCGUGGGGGAAUGGUUACUUCCUGGUGCUCCAUUAAUAUCAUAAGCAAAAAAUGAAGAAACCUUGUUAAUUCCAAUAGCAACAACUACUCUUACUCUAUUUACUUUCAUUUUCCAGCAUUAACAUUCAAUCCCCUUAUGUUUUAAACUUUGAUUUUCUUUCUUUUAGUUUCCAAGUUCCUUAUGCAUUUUUAAUUUCUUUUCUUGUCAAAUUUUUUAGUAAAAAAUUUGAUUAAUUUAUUUUUCAGCACAUUUAACCAAAAUCAGAAUGCUAUUUAGAUUUUUCUGUAGUUCAUCAAUCAUUUUAUUAGAAGUCAAAUACGUACACAUCAAUUCACUUAAUUAAUUAUCACAUACUUCUAACAUGCUCUAGCAUCAAUUCUUACAAAAAAAGCAAAAAAUAUGGAAACAGGAAGAAAUAUCAAAAUAAAAUUCUUAUUUUCACUUGCACGACAAUUUCAAAACAACAAAUAUCAAAUAAGAUGAAAAACAGAAAGAUUAAAAAAGCCAAAUAACUCCUAAGGGAGCAUACAUAAAGAGCUGUGCACGCCUACAUCAAUUUUUAUUCUUAUUUUGAUAGAUUAGUUUUUGUUUUAUUUUUUUUUUAAAACUAAUCACUUGAUUACUGAUAUAGAAAAGAGAAGCCAGAACCACUCAAUUUCUCUUCAACAAUUUGAUCCAAAUGAGCUCCCAUUUCUUCAGUAUAAUAAUUCUUCCAAUCUCCGGUUUUACCUUUUCUAUAGAACAGACUAUUUUUCAUGACAAAUGCUGAGUUUUCAGCAUAAGCACCAUCUUUAGUCGCCUUUGAAUUCUUUAAACUCUCAAAACUACACAAAUCAAUGAUCUGUUGCACUACUCCUUGAUUCUCUUCAUGUGGAGUAAAGGGAUAUCCAAGAAAAUCAGCUAGCUUCUUAACAUUAGAAACUGUGUCCUCCUUCAAAUCUUCAUACUUUAAAAAUAAGACCUUUUCAGGAUAUUUUUGACUUGCCUUCCAAAAUCCAGCAACAUGAUCCCAGUAAGGUCCAUUUAGAGCAACUCCUUCGCAAAAUGCUUCGAAGGAAUCGUCCAUGUUGCAAUAUGCAUCUUUGUCAAUUCCUUCAGGUAAUCUUGCUCUCAAGAAGUGCCACAUUGAUACCAAAACAUCCUUAGGAUCCCUGCAGAAGUAUACUAUUUUACAUCCCAAUGUUCCUACAGAAGUUGGCAAGGAAUCAUAAGGAAUAUGUGU
rnacentral:lncRNA from 1 species